UCCGGUAUGGUGUAUCGGCUAGCAUCCGUCGCUUUCAUUGUUUCUACGAUGAUCAAGCGCCCGACGAGAGCCGGGUUCGACUCCCGGUACCGGAA